rnacentral:rRNA from 1 species
GGGUACCUACGGGGGGCAGCAGUGAGGAAUAUUGGUCAAUGGACGGAAGUCUGCACCAGCCAUGCCGCUUGCAGGAAGACGGCUCUAUGAGUUGUAAACUGCUUUUGUACAAGGGUAAACCUGAAUACGUGUAUUCAGCUGAAAGUACUGUACGAAUGAGGAUCGGCUAACUCCGUGCCAGCAGCCGCGGUAAUACGGAGGAUCCAAGCGUUAUCCGGAUUUAUUGGGUUUAAAGGGUGCGUAGGCGGAUUGAUAGGUUAGAGGUGAAAUGUCCGAGCUCAACUCGGGAACUGCCUCUAAUACUG